GCGCCGGUGGUGUAAGGUGAACAUCGCUGCCCGGAAAGCAGAAGAAGAUGCGGGUUGGAGUCCCGCCUGGCGCA
rnacentral:tRNA from 1 species